rnacentral:rRNA from 1 species
UACGUAGGGUGCAAGCGUUGUCCGGAAUCAUUGGGCGUAAAGAGCGUGUAGGCGGCCCGGUAAGUCCGCUGUGAAAGUCGAGGGCUCAACCCUCGAAUGCCGGCGGAUACUGUCGGGCUAGAGUCCGGAAGAGGCGAGUGGAAUUCCUGGUGUAGCGGUGAAAUGCGUAGAGAUCCGGAGGAACCCCAGAGGCGAAGGCGGCGCCUGGCUCGCAACUGACGCUCAGACACGACAGCAUGGGGAGCGAACGGG